rnacentral:lncRNA from 1 species
GAAGCCUUCCAGAUGAUGAAGCUCAGAGAAGGAAGAUGUCCUUCCUAGGGGCACACCGCAGAGCACACAGAUUCCAGCCAGGGUCCUUGCGUCUCCAGCAGGAGCGCUCUUCUACCACACCCAGCUGCCCGCACUGGGGGCUUCCCUGUGUGUGUGGUGUGUGCACUUCUUCCACCUGAGACGGAUCCACCCAUACAGAAGUGUUGGGGACAGCACGCACGGCCUUUCCUGGAUCAGUCUGUGUUGGGACGACUCAAGGGAACUCAGUGCUGAUGCUCCAGGGCUUACUGUCUGCUGACAUGUUGUCAGGAUCAGGAAGGGAGGCGUUUUGGCAUCAAGAAUAUUUUUCAUAUCCCCUAACAGGUGCUGUGGUGACUCCUACUCCUCUGGUCCUGAUGCAACUUGAAAUGUGGCUCAAAGGAAAGAAGAAACACCGCCUUUGGCACUUGGUGUCUGAAAGGUGAAGCAGCUGUUGUGAACUGAGCACCCCAGCACCACAGGAUGUCCAAUCAACCUGCUCCGUGAAAAGUUCCCAUUGUGGAAGGACAUGAAGGACGUUUCACGCUUCAAAGUAUGUCUGUCUUCUUUUCUUCACCCUCACACUUCCUUUCAUGUUGCUGCGGGUUUUCAACUUCUCUGUAUUUUUCCCCAAAAAAGAGCAAAAAUAAGGACAAAAAUAAAUGAAGAAACCAAGACACAAUGUUUAAAGGUUCAAGAAUAAACUGUAUGAAUGAAUUAAAAUGAAAUCUUAGAUCACUUCCUCAAAGCAUUGAAAUUCCUGUUUGAGGUCAUCCUCUUGUGACAGCAUCUCAGAAUUUUACUACAGCGAGUGGCCAUUGGGAAGUAGAUGAAGAGAAAGUGGGGUGAAGAUGCUGUGACUUCCUUCUUUUGAUUGUGUCUGUAGUAGGUGAUAGAGUGGCGCUGAGCAGGACACAUGGGGAUUCUGAGUUGCUGGUCAGUUUCCACUUCUUGGUCUGGGUGGUCAUUACUUGGUUCUCUUCUGUAGUCACUCAGUACAAUUCACCAAACUCUAUGUAAAUUGUGUAUUUUUAAAAAUGUACAAAUUAAAAGUUUACUUAAAACUUAUUGUAUAAUAUUCAAUGACAUGAAUGAACCUUAAUGAUAUGAUGCUAAAUGAAAUAAGCCAACCAUAGAAAGACAAGUACUUCAUUAUUCCACUUUUAUAAGGAAUCUGAAAUAGUUAUAGAAUCAGAAAGUGGGAAGGGGUUUGCCAGACACUGCGGAGGAGGAUGGAUAUGGGGAGUAGCUAAUCAAUGGGCAUAAGAUUUCAGUCAAGUGAGGUGAAUAAGCUUUAGAGAUCUGUAACAACACUGUAACACCUGUAGUUGAUAAUAUAUUGUACACUUGGCAAAUUUGUUAAGAGGGUAGAUCUCAGGUAGAUGUACCUUUCACAAUAAAAAAAAAAAAAAAAACUUAAUCAAAAUAAAAGGUGCACCAAAUAUAUUAAAAUGAGGGAGGAAUGAAAUUUAUCUUGUGCCUUCCUGCAGCUGAGGGAAGCAGUUAGCUUAUGAGAGCUAUGGAAACAAGAAACAUAAUGGGUUGUAUAGUGCUUUUUACCUCGGUAACAUAAAAUACCUAUAUUUGUGAGUCAAGGUUUAUCUUUUUGGCAAAUAUAUUCGUGUGUGAGCCAAUGAAUUGUAUAGUAGGCAAAUCUUUAAUAAUUACAUUUAAAGGGCACACUGUUCAAAUUUAUACUUCCUUUAUUUGAUUCUGUAUAAAAGUAAGGGCAUACAAUUAAAUCUUAACUCACUUGACAUUAUGCUGUAGGAAGUAAAGAUAUUAAAGUUUAGGUGUGUUCCUUUCUGAAGGUGUAGACACAUGAUUUCCAGGACAUUACAUAGUAAACAGAUUCAUUAUUAUCUAUUUUUAAAAUGUUAAUUAUCUGACAAGCUAUUUGCUCCUCAGUGUGGUGGAUAUUAUGAUUGGUUUCUCUGAGUGUCAAAAUUGUCUGCUGUAGUGAAGGGCCUUGGAAAUGAACAGAGAUCAUUCUGUCAUUUUUGAGAUUGCAUCCUAGUACUGCAUUUUGGACUCUUUUGUGGACUAUGAUGGCUACUCCAUUUCUUCUAAGGGAUUCUUGCCCACAGUAGUAGAUGUAAUGGUCAUCUGAGUUAAAUUCACCCAUUCCAGUCCAUUUUAGUUUGCUGAUUUUCCUAAAAUGUUGACAUUCACUCUUGCCAUCUCCUGUUUGACCACUUCCAAUUUGCCUUGAUUCAUGGACCUAACAUUCCGGAUUCCUAUGCAAUACUGGUCUUUACAGCAUCGGACCUUGCUUCUAUCACCAGUCACAUCCACAACUGGGUGUUGUUUUUGCUUUGGCUCCCUCUCUUCAUUCUUUCUGGAGUUAUUUUUUCACUGAUCUCCAGUAGCAUAUUGGGCACCUACUGACCUGGGGAGUUCAUCUUUCAGUGUUCUAUAUUUUUGCCUUUUCAUACUGUUCUUAGGGUUCCCAAGGCAGGAAUAUUGAAAUGGUUUGCCAUUCCCUUCUCCAGUGGACCACAUUUUGUCAGAAUUCUCCACCAUGACCCAUCCAUCUUGGGUGGCCCCACAUGGCAUGGCUUAGUUUCAUUGAGUUAGACAAGGCUGUGGUCCAUGUGAUUAGCUUGGUUAGUUUUCUGAGAUUGUGUUUCAGUCUGUCUGCCCUCUGAUGCCCUCUCUUAGUGCCUAUUGUCUUACUCGUGUUUCUCUUACCUUGGACGUGGAGUAUCUGUUCACGGCUGAUCCAGCAAAGUGCUUCUUACUUUGGACAUGAGGUGUCUCCUCAUGGCCCUGCUACUGACUUGGAUGUGGGGUAUUUCCUCUCAGCCGUUCACCACUCCUGGCAAACCAUUCAAUAUCACUGUAAUCCAAGUCUGUACUCUGACUAGUAACACUGAAGAAGCUAAAGGUGAAUGGUUCUAUGAAGACCUACAAGACCUUUUAGAACUAACACCCAAAAAAGAUGUUCUUUUCAUUAUAGGGGACUGGAAUGCAAAAGUAGGAAGUCAAGAAACACCUGGAGUAAUAGGCAUAUUUGGCCUUGGAGUACAGAAUGAAGCAGGGCAAAUUGUAACAGAGUUUUGCCAAGAGAACACACUGGUCAUAGCAAACACCCACUUCCAACAACACAAGAG